rnacentral:rRNA from 1 species
AGGACGAACGCUGGCGGCGUGCUUAACACAUGCAAGUCGAACGAGGUGCUUGCACCUAGUGGCGAACGGGUGAGUAACACGUGAGCAACCUGCCCUUGGCUCUGGGAUAGCCUCCGGAAACGGGGAUUAAUACCGGACAUGACCUGCCUCCGCAUGGGGGCGGGUGGAAAGUUUUUUCGGCCAGGGAGGGGCUCGCGGCCUAUCAGCUUGUUGGGGGGGUAACGGCCCACCAAGGCGACGACGGGUAGCC